UAAAACAGAUCCUCCACACACGUUUUCCUUUGAGUAGGCGAAAAAGCAAACCUGUCCGAACACGUCUAUUCAAGAAAACGUACAAAAACCCGAGGGAAUCCAACAUCUGCCUCGGCGACACACAGAGGAAAUGUUGAUACUGCAGUGACGAGACAGCAGUCGGUACAAGUAUCCAAACACGGAGGAAAGCGAGAGGAAGAGCACGAAUCUUACCGAGCAGCAAAACUUCAUCAAAAGGAUCAUGUGACACCGAAGACUGGAUGAUGCUGAAAACAGACACACACAGUAACGAAAAGCAGUCAGUGUGUAUGAUAUUCUUUUUUUAUUACACCUCAAAAGAGACAAAUAUUUUAAGACAUUUUUGUUUGUAAAUACACAAGCAAAACCUUUAUGGACAAUCAUUAGCGAACUGAAACCAGAUAAAAUCAUUUUUAUACAUGUAUUUUACAGUGGUCACUGAAGCAUGUCACUUGCUAACUAGGUGAAAGAGUAUUGCUCUAUGAUGUAUAAUCCAGCUAAUAAUUACAUUUGAUGUAAAAGAAAAAAUAAGUUAUUUAAAUAUCAAUUACAUAUACAGAAUGUGCAACCUCAGUUAAUCAUUUCAUAUAUGUAAUUAAAACCCAGUUUUAUAUCACUGGUCAUGGUUAGUUCUGUAAUUAAUUAACAAGUGAUUAUAUUUUUAACAGAUUUGAUAUUUAAACAGCUCAACUCAACCAUCAACAUUUGACCUGAAAACAAACAUCUUAAAAAAAAA